UUGCACAGGUGCUGCAUGGCUGUCGUCAGCUCGUGUCGUGAGAUGUCGGUUAAGUCCGCUAACGAGCGCAACCCUCGUCGUGUGUUAUACGUGUCACACGAUACUGCCGGUAUCAAGCCGGAGGAAGGUGGGGAUGAUGUCAAGUCAGCAUGGCCUUUAUAUCCUGGGCUACACACACGCUACAAUGGCAGAUACAAUAGGUUGCGAAACCGCGAGGUGGAGCCAAUCCUCAAAGUCUGUCUCAGUUCAGAUUGUAGGCUGCAACUCGCCUGCAUGAAGUUGGAGUUGCUAGUAAACGCAGGUCAGCUAUACUGCGUUGAAUACGUUCCCGGGGUUU
rnacentral:rRNA from 1 species